AUUGAACGCUGGCGGCAGGCCUAACACAUGCAAGUCGAACGAGUGGCGGACGGGUGAGUAAUGUCUGGGAAACUGCCCGAUGGAGGGGGAUAACUACUGGAAACGGUAGCUAAUACCGCAUACCAUCGGAUGUGCCCAGAUGGGAUUAGCUAGUGGGUGGGGUAACGGCUCACCUAGGCAACGCUCCCUAGCUGCGCUGAGAGGAUGACCAGCCACACUGGAACUGAGACACGGUCCAGACUCCUACGGGAGGCAGCAGUGGGGAAUAUUGCACAAUGGGCGCAAGCCUGAUGCAGCCAUGCCGCGUGUGUGAAGAAGGCCUUCGGGUUGUAAAGCACUUUCAGCGAGGAGGCGGUAGUCGAAGAAGAAGCACCGGCUAACUCCGUGCCAGCAGCCGCGGUAAUAG
rnacentral:rRNA from 1 species